UACAGAGGGGGCAAGCGUUGUUCGGAAUUACUGGGCGUAAAGGGCGCGUAGGCGGCCUUCUAAGUCGAACGUGAAAUCCCCGGGCUCAACCCGGGAACUGCGUCCGAUACUGGAUGGCUAGAGUCUGGUAGGGGGAUCUGGAAUUCCUGGUGUAGCGGUGGAAUGCGCAGAUAUCAGGAGGAACACCGGUGGCGAAGGCGGGAUCCUGGGCCAGUACUGACGCUGAGGAGCGAAAGCGUGGGGAGCAAACAGG
rnacentral:rRNA from 1 species